UUUUUUUUUUUUUUUUUGGCUGUACCCAUAGUAUAUGGAAGUUCCCACGCCAUGGAUCAAACCCAGGCCAGGGCUGUAACCAGAGCCACUGCAGUGAAAACACUGGAUCCCUAACCCACAGAGUCACAAGGGAACUCCAAUGGAGGAUAAGACACUGAUUAAAGAUUCACUUUUGGAGUUCCCAUCACGGCUCAGAGGAAACAAAUCUGACCAGGAACCAUGAGGUUGCAGGUUCGAUUCCUAGCCUCGCUUAGUAGGUUAAGGAUCCAGCAUUGCUGUGACCUGUGGUGUAGGUAACAAAUGCAGCUUGGAUCCCAUGUUGCUAUGGCUGUGGCAUAGGCCAGCAGCUGUAGCUCCAAUGUGACCCCUAGUCUAUAAACUUCCAUAUUCUGUACUUGCAGCCCUAAAAAAACCCAAAAAACAAAAAAAACCCCACCCCCUCAAGACCAUAGUAGAUAACUGUUUCUCCUAAACUCAUAGAGACAGAGAGUAUUAAAUGAAUAGGCAGUGGAAUUAUUCCCAAUUAAAAGAGCAAGAGAAAUCCCCUGAAAGAACAAAUAAUGAAACAGAGUUCACCAGUCUACUAAACAGAGUUCAAAAAGGUAGUAAUAAAAGUGCUAACUGAAUUAAGAAGGAUUAUUCAGUAGCAAGGCAGAUCACUGUAACAAGAAACUAGAAACUAUAAAGAUAAACCAAUCCAAAAUAGACAAUUCAAUUGGUUAGAUGAAAACCAACCCAGAAGCAAUCAAUAGUCAGCUAAAUGAUGUGGAAGAAUGAAUAAGUGAUUGGAAGAUAGAAUAAUGGAACUAACCCACUUAGAAUAGCAGACAGAAAAGACAAAUGAAAAAAAUAUAAACAUACAAGAUCUAUGGGAUAGCAUAAAACAUGCCAACCUAUGUAUAAUAGGAGUUCCAGAGGAGAACAGAGAGAGAAGGGGAUCAAAAAAUGCAUUUGAAGCAAUCAUUGCUGAAAAUUUUCCAAACCUCAUGAAGGCAAUAGAUAGGAUUUUCCAUUGUGGCUCAGUGGCAACAAACUAGUCUAGUAUCCACAAGGACACGGGUUUGAUCUCUUGCCUUGCUCAGUGGAUUAAGAAUCUGGUGUUGCUGACAGCUGUGGUGUAGGUUGCAGACAUGGUUCAGAUCCUACGUUGCUGUGGCUGUGGUGUAGGCCAGCAGCUGCAGAUCUGAUUCAACCCCUAGCCUGGGAACUUCUAUAUGCCAUAGGUGUGGCCCUAAAAAGACACACACACACACCCCUAGAAAUCCAGGUACAGGAAGCACAGAGGCUCCAGAACAAGAUAAACCCUCACAUCAAGAUAUCUUAAUUCAAAUGGCACAAGUUAAGGAGAGAUUCUAAAGGCAGCAAGAGAAAAUCAGUUACAAGGGUCCACCUCCAAAAAGGCUAUCAGCUGAUGACUCAGAAGAAACUCUGCAGGCCAGAAGGGAAUUGCAUGAAACGGUCAAAGUGCUGAAGGGGAAAAACAUGCAACUUAGGAUAUUCUACCCAGCAAGACUAUCAUUUAGAAUAGAAGGGAAGAGGAAGGACUUCCCAGACAAGCAAAAACUAAAAGAAUUCAGUGACACUAAACCUACUUUAAAAUAAAUAUUGAAGGGUGUUCUCCAAAUAGAAAAUAAGUAAAAUCCUAUAGGAAAGGAAAAAUCAAAAUAGUAAAGGCAAAUAUAUAUAAAGAUUGAAGAUCACUUAAAUAAGCCAGUAUAUAGAUUAAAAAAAAUAAAGUUUGUAAAAGUUACUUUAUCUACGAAAAAAAAGUAAAAGGAUAAACAUGAAGAUGUGAAACAGGAUAUCAAAUUCACAAAAUAUGGGUAGGGAGAGUAAAAAAAUUGUAGAUCUUUUAGAAUGUAUCUGAACUUGAAUGACAAUAAGUUUAAAGAAAGUAGAUUUGGUUAUGGAUCAAUGUAUUUGAACGCCAUGGUAACUACAAAUCACAAAUAUAAAGUAGUUUCACAAAAACCAAAAGAAAGGAACUCAAACAUACCACAAAAGGAAACCGUCAAACUACAUAAGGAAAAACAAAAAGAAGAAGAAAUGAACAGAGUGGCUCUUGGAGAGGGCAUGGAAGAUCCACACCCUUUCCCCAUACCUUGCCUUAUGCAUCUCUUCCAUCUGGCUGUUGCUGCGUUCUAUCUUUUUUUUCCCUUAGGGCUGAAACUGUGGAAUUUGGAGGUUCCCAGGCUACGGGUCAAAUUGGAGCUGCAGAAAAGAAGCAAAAUCCUAUAGGAAAAUCCUAUAGCUAUAGUAACACCAGAUCUGAGUCACAUCUGCAAUCUACACUGCAGCUCAUGGCAACACUGGGUCAUUAACCCACUGAGUAAGGCCAGGGAUCAAAUCCAAUUCCUCACGGAUACUAGUUGGUCUCUUAACCUGCUGAGCCACAAAGCCACAAAGGGGACUCCCUGCAUUAUAACCUUUUAUAAAAAACCAGUGAUCUAGGAGGUUGAAAAUUCUAAGAAAAUGAAACUGAAAAACCCAAAACAAACCAGUAAAAAGUUCCCAUGUGUGAAUCGUAAAACUGCCAACUCCUGUAUGACCUUUGAAAAGACACUAAACUUCAACAAAAUUUAGUUUUUUCAUCUCUAAAAUGGAAAUAAUUAUCUCAGUGGAUUGCUGUGAGGUUCCAAUAAAUAAGAUUACCAGAUUUAGAAAAUAAAAAUAGUUGCCCAGUUAUAUUUGUAUUUCAGAUAAUUAGUGUGAGCAUGACCCAAAUAUUAUACAUUACAUACGACAUAUUUAUAGUAAAUAAUCUGUUAUCUAUCUGAAAUUCAAUUUUUUUUUUGUUUUUUUUUGGGGGGGGGGCGGGGGCACACACGUGCGGCAUAUGGAAGUUCCCAGGCUAGGGGUCCAAUCGGAGGUGCAGCUUCUGGCCUACAGCACAGGUCACAGCAACACUGGAUUCUUAACCCACUGAGCAAGGCCAGGGAUUGAACCUGCAUCCUUAUGGAUACUAGUUGGGUUCGUUACCACUGAUGUACAAUGGGAACUCCCUGAAAUUCAAAUUUAAAUGGGUGUCCUAUACUUUAUUUGUAGUCUUACAGAGCUAAUCUAUAUUAAAAUGAC
rnacentral:lncRNA from 1 species